AAAUAAUGGAUGUUUAUUUAUUUUACAUAAUGAAUAUUGUCUCUUUAAUGAGUGAAAAGCAAAAUAUACUUCCACACGUGCAGUUCCCCGUCGUGAAUGGUAAGGGUGAUUCAGGAGUUGGAGGAGCCUUCAUGAAAAUGAACAUAAAGCCAUCAGAAGCCUCGGACUGCGGUGAAUAAUUGAUGCAGUUCAUCACGAAGGGAUGCGAGGGUAUGCUGCUACACUUCAGCCAUUUGGACUCAUCCGAAGGCACAGAGAAGUCGGACUUUGCAAAGGCCCCAAAACAUUCCAGGAAGGAUAUCGUAUUUACGAAGAAUGUACUCGAUAAGUGUUCCUGUCCCUGUUCCUGACGAUCGGAAACUCAGUCAGAGACGGUUGGCAUCAACUUAGAAAGCCGUCGAUUCCGGGAGCGGUUUCAGGAACAGCUGCUGUGUCUGUUGUGUCCCUGCUUUGUCCACUUACUUCCCUUCAUUCGUUCGGCGGGUUACUUAAUACCAUGGGAUGUGAUCCGGUAAAGCAGAGAGGCGAGGAAAAUACAAGUUGCAGUUAUUUCCCUUUAUAUAAUCAGUAAAAAUAACAUGAUGUGUUUCGCGAAAAUAUUUCUCUUGGUAAUGAGUAAAAAGUACCCCUGAAUUUGACGUAUAGGCUUCUUACUCAUUAAUGAGUAAACGCUGUUUACUCUUUUAAUGAGUUGAACUAUUUAACUUCAUACUGGGUACUUUUUUACUCAUUAAAGAGUACUUUGCUGGCACAGUGUAUAGAUUCUACUAUCUAUACUGAGUACGGGUUACCCAGAUUUUUUCGCUUGUUCGAUUACCUAGAUUUGAGUUUAGGUACUGCUAUUUGAUGUACUGUCAAACGUCACCGGUACGGAAUACAGCAACCCAAUUGAUAGCCGAAAAUAGUGACCUAUACAGAAACGAGUGACGAAGCUAAAAUGACAGCGCUGCGCGAGUGAUUAAAAUGCUCGCGACCGAUAAUGAUGCCACAAGACAAACAGACGAAAAAUCCAUCGUUCAACUCCUCUACCACCAUCUUGCAAGAAUGUUACACGAAACAAUGAUUCGUAUGACAUUGUCACCAGAAGGCGCUGAAGUGAAAUGUCAAACUCGAAGCAUCAACCCGCAUAACUAAAUACCAUCUGCAGAU